rnacentral:rRNA from 1 species
UUUAGAGUUUAAUCCUGGCUCCAGAUUGAACGCUGGCGGCAGGCCUAACACAUGCAAGUCGAGCGGUAACAGAGAGAAGCUUCCUUCUCUGCUGACGAGCGGCGGACGGGUGAGUAAUACUUGGGAAUUUCCCUUUAGGCGGGGGACAACCACGGGAAACUGUGGCUAAUACCGCAUAAUGUCUACGGACCAAAGUGGGGGACCUUCGGGCCUCACACCUAAAGAUGAGCCCAAGCGGGAUUAGCUAGUUGGUGGGGUAAAGGCUCACCAAGGCGACGAUCCCUAGCUGUUCUGAGAGGAUGAUCAGCCACACUGGGACUGAGACACGGCCCAGACUCCUACGGGAGGCAGCAGUGGGGAAUAUUGCACAAUGGGGGAAACCCUGAUGCAGCCAUGCCGCGUGUGUGAAGAAGGCCUUCGGGUUGUAAAGCACUUUCAGCGACGAGGAAGGGUGUUGUAUUAAUAGCGCAGCACAUGACGUUAUCGCAGAAGAGCACCGCA